rnacentral:rRNA from 1 species
CCCCUAGAUGUUCUGGGCCGCACGCGCGCUACACUGAACAGUUCAACAAGUCUUAACCUUGGCCGAUAGGUCUGGGUAAUCUUUGAACGCUGUUCGUGAUUGGGAUAGACCUUUGCAAUUAUGGGUCUUCAACGAGGAAUUCCUAGUAAACGGAAGUCAUCAGCUUGCAUUGAUUACGUCCCUGCCCUUUGUACACACCGCCCGUCGCACCUACCGAUUGAAUGGUCCGGUGAAAUCUCGGGACGGCGGCUUGGUCGCUUGCGUCCGACUGCUGAAACUUGAUUAAACCAUAUCAUUUAGAGGAAGGUGAAGUCGUAACA